rnacentral:rRNA from 1 species
UACGUAGGGGGCAAGCGUUAUCCGGAAUUACUGGGUGUAAAGGGAGCGUAGACGGUAAUGUAAGUCUGGAGUGAAAGGCGGGGGCCCAGCCCCCGGACUGCUCUGGAAACUAUGUUACUAGAGUGCAGGAGAGGUAAGCGGAAUUCCUAGUGUAGCGGUGAAAUGCGUAGAUAUUAGGAGGAACACCAGUGGCGAAGGCGGCUUACUGGACUGUAACUGACGUUGAGGCUCGAAAGCGUGGGGAGCAAACAGG